CUAACAUCUUGCUGCUUUAUUAGAACACAUUAGUGUGUUAAAUCAUGAUUGUUCAAAAUAACAAAAAUGAACAGAUACAAAUCUGUCACCAUGAAAGAGCAAUAAAAAGAAUUCUUCAGUUGUUAGAUCAGGAAUGCUGUCUGAGCUGAGCCGGGAUGGCUGAGAAUCACUUGAGAGAGGGCUUUUUGUCCAGACUCGUCCUAGGCAAGGCAGAGAGUGGGGUUACAAGCCUUUUCCUAUUCUCACACUUGUUUUUCAUUGCAUUUUAAAUUUAUUAAUAACUUACAGAGAUCAGUUCACCUUUCUCAUUCUCAGCCAACUUCCAUGAAGGUAGAAGGUAUAUUCUCCUUCCUCUCCCUGCAGUGGUACCAGCUGGUCUCAGAGGAAAUCUGGAAAAACUGAUUAUUAAGUAAAAAACUUGAGAAAGUCUUACAAAUCUAAUGAAAUUAUCCAUGAAUGCUGCUCCAGUGCCAUGAUCACAAGUGAGUAAUCCUGACUUCAUGUGACUCUUGAUUUUUUUAAAAGCCUGCUUGUAAUGUAAAUUUUUCUUUAUGUGAUCCAUUUUCAUCUGAAAACUUAGGCUGUUCCCAUAGCCAGAUACCUAAGCUAAAGAGUAGAUGUGCAUGACCAGCACUGUCCUGUUCUUAAUAUAUGGUUUAUUUGGUUUAAAUACUUUAUAUGAGAGAUCAUGAUUUAUUUCUAGGAUAUGACAAACUUAGAUUCUAAAACUAUGACAAACUUAAGAUUCUAAAACUACCUGAUCUAAAGAAUGAGUAUGGCUCAUAUAUAUCA
rnacentral:lncRNA from 1 species